rnacentral:rRNA from 1 species
UGGAUCGUAAAGCUCUGUUGUUAGGGAAGAACAAGUGCGAGAGUAACUGCUCGCACCUUGACGGUACCUAACCAGAAAGCCACGGCUAACUACGUGCCAGCAGCCGCGGUAAUACGUAGGUGGCAAGCGUUGUCCGGAAUUAUUGGGCGUAAAGGGCUCGCAGGCGGUUUCUUAAGUCUGAUGUGAAAGCCCCCGGCUCAACCGGGGAGGGUCAUUGGAAACUGGGAAACUUGAGUGCAGAAGAGGAGAGUGGAAUUCCACGUGUAGCGGUGAAAUGCGUAGAGAUGUGGAGGAACACCAGUGGCGAAGGCGACUCUCUGGUCUGUAACUGACGCUGAGGAGCGAAAGCGUGGGGAGCGAACAGGAUUAGAUACCCUGGUAGUCCACGCCGUAAACGAUGAGUGCUAANUGUUAGGGGGUUUCCGCCCCUUANUGCUGCAGCUAACGCA